rnacentral:rRNA from 1 species
GGCCCUACGGGGUGCAGCAGGCGCGAAACCUCCGCAAUGUGAGAAAUCGCGACGGGGGGAUCCCAAGUGCCAUUCUUAACGGGAUGGCUUUUCAUUAGUGUAAAGAGCUUUUGGAAUAAGGGCUGGGCAAGACCGGUGCCAGCCGCCGCGGUAACACCGGCAGCUCUAGUGGUAGCAGUUUUUAUUGGGCCUAAAGCGUCCGUAGCCGGUUUAAUAAGUCUCUGGUGAAAUCCUGUAGCUUAACUGUGGGAAUUGCUGGAGAUACUAUUAGACUUGAGACCGGGAGAGGUUAGAGGUACUCCCAGGGUAGAGGUGAAAUUCUGUAAUCCUGGGAGGACCGCCUGUUGCGAAGGCGUCUAACUGGAACGGUUCUGACGGUGAGGGACGAAAGUUAGGGGCGCGAACCGGAUUAGAUACCCGGGUAGUCCCAGCUGUAAACGAUGCAGGCUAGGUGUUUGGACGGCCACGUGCCGUUCUAGUGCCGCAGGGAAGCUGUUAAGCCUGCCGCCUGGGGAGUACGAUCGCAAGAUUGAAACUUAAAGGAAUUGGCGGGGGAGCACCACAAGGGGUGAAGCUUGCGGUUUAAUUGGAGUCAACGCCGGAAAUCUC